GAUGAACGCUGGCGGCGUGCCUAAUACAUGCAAGUCGAGCGAACAGACGAGGAGCUUGCUCCUUCGACGUUAGCGGCGGACGGGUGAGUAACACGUAGGUAACCUACCUAUAAUACUGGGAGAACUUCGGGAAACCGGAGCUAAUACCGGAUAAUAUUUCGAACCGCAUGGUUCGAUAGUGAAAGAUGCCUUUGCUAUCACUUUUAGAUGGACCUGCGCCGUAUUAGCUAGUUGGUAAGGUAACGGCUUACCAAGGCAACGAUACGUAGCCGACCUGAGAGGGUGAUCGGCCACACUGGAACUGAGACACGGUCCAGACUCCUACGGGAGGCAGCAGUAGGGAAUCUUCCGCAAUGGGCGAAAGCCUGACGGAGCAACGCCGCGUGAGUGAUGAAGGUCUUCGGAUCGUAAAACUCUGUUAUUAGGGAAGAACAAACGUGUAAGUAACUGUGCACGUCUUGACGGUACCUAAUCAGAAAGCCACGGCUAACUACGUG
rnacentral:rRNA from 1 species